rnacentral:misc_RNA from 1 species
AAGUCGUAACAAGGUUUCCGUAGGUGAACCUGCGGAAGGAUCAUUAUUGAAAAGGGAGCCCUUCGGGGUUCAACCUUAAACCCUUUGACUUAUUACCUGUUUCUUUGGCGGGCUUGCCCGUCAGAAGUUUUCUCAAACCCAUUAUAAACGUGUCGUCUGAAAACAACAUAAAUAAAACAAAACUUUCAACAACGGAUCUCUUGGUUCUG